UACGUAGGGGGCAAGCGUUGUCCGGAUUUAUUGGGCGGAAAGAGCGUGUAGGCGGCCAGACAGGUCAGCUGUGAAAACUCGAGGCUCAACCUCGAGACGUCGGUUGAAACCGUAUGGCUAGAGUCCGGAAGAGGAGAGUGGAAUUCCCGGUGUAGCGGUGAAAUGCGCAGAUAUCGGGAAGAACACCCGUGGCGAAGGCGGCUCUCUGGGACGGUACUGACGCUGAGACGCGAAAGCGUGGGGAGCAAACAGG
rnacentral:rRNA from 1 species